AGACUACUACCACUAGCCAAGCUGCCUCAUUAGUGGAACUUUCCCACCUGGACCUUCCUGUUGGACAUGAGGAAACUGCAGGCGAUGCAAGUCCUUCUGACCUCGAGAUGGACUACUACGAUCUGGCAAUCCCACUUGAGCACGAGGAAGUGGUAUCUGCCAGCCAUGACCUCCCAUGCUACUCAGGAGCUGCAUCUCCAACUAAGCACUGGCCAACGGCAGCAGUAGAGGUCCCGGCUGAUCCCUCUGCACGUAUACUUGAGGGAACUGAGUACCAAAAGUGCCUCGGAUCAUGUGGUGCUUGCUGUACAAGACGGAAGG